UUUUUUCAAAAUGUGAGUUAGACAAAUUUACUUUCAUGGCCAGAUGACAUUUUACAAAGGCUGGUCAUUCUUUGAGCAACCACUGCGAUCCAUCCUAUGCUGUUCUUAUUAGAUGUAGGUGCUGAGCCACUGCAAGGUUUGGCUUGAGCAAACCAAUCUCAUAGCUGCAUCAAAGAGGAGACAGCUAUGAGACAAAACAGACCAUCUGUGUGAGCUAUUAGGACUCACCACUUACUUCAUCCUCUGACUAAGUGAAGGCUCCAUCCCCUCAACCUACUCUCUCACCUUGUUUGAUUGACAAAUGAAUACUUAGCUCACAUUCUAACAAAGGAAUCAUUCCUUCCUCUCCACCUGGUCCUUCAGCUGCGGGUUCUUCCUCAUGGCUGUCUCAAACCUGAGCCAAUCACAAAGGUUGAAAAACAAAUCAGCGUGUGCUCAUGAUCUUGCCCAAAUCUGCCUGACCUGUGAGGAACAUGGGUGGAUGACCACAUUCCUGGAAAUUGAGAUGUCUCCCAUGUGGUCAUUCACCCUAUUUCUUUUUUUUAAUUCAUUAGGGGAGCAAUGUAGAAAACUGCAGGAAUAUUUCCAGAUGGAGUGGACGAAGAGUCUGGGGUAAAAUGGACCUCCCGCCCAAUAUGAACAUCUGUGGUUUAUUAUGUGAGUUUUCCAUACCACAUUAGCUUUGAAACUUGUUUCUUCUUGCAGUCCUCACUAUGAAAGGGACUUUAUAUUAUUUAAGGUUCUUGUAUAUUUCCAGACAUCAACCCCCAGAAGAAGUGCAAGGUCCAAAGAUCCAUAUGCCACUCGGAGGCACUGUUAGAACAAUUUUACAUCCCCUUAAACACUGUCUCAGAGGCAGCUUCUGUGAGAAACUCGGAGGGCUGCAUUUGGAUUCUCAGUGUCCCCAGCCAUCGCAGGAGCUCCCGUGUACCCCAGUUGAUCAGCAUCCCUCCCUGAUGAUGGAAGAAAACACUACCAAUAGCGAAUGAAUGAAUGACUGUGCCCAGGUGAAUGUGGAUUUGGCAUAUCUCCUGAAAUCGCAAGACUGAGCUCUGCAUGUACCACAUUACAUCAGAUCGACAAACAAGCGUCUUGCCGGUUCUUAGCACAAGAGUCUUUGAGACGAAGAAAUUCAGGACAUGGGCGAAGACACUGAUAUUCCAAAAAGCCGUACAUUUUGAAUAUUUGAAAAGUCUUUUGACUGUGAAUAAGUUUGUUUUGAUGUAAAACGAUUUUCUGAUUGCUGUAUUUUGACAUUUAAGAUCAGUUCAUGUUACAUUUUCAUGCUUAAAUUUACAGUAAAAAAACUAGUUAAAUGUAAAAAGUUUUUACAAAUUGUUGUAUUUGAUCAUAUCUGUAAUGGACAGUUUUAAAAUUAAGGGUUAGUUCAUUUUUCAUUUCAAUAUUUGAACAGAAAAGUUUCCAAAAAUGUUGUUUAUUACUUUUAAGUGUUCAAUUAGUACUUGUGAUAUUAAGGUCUUCUGAUUUGUUGUUAAUAUAUACACUGAUCAGGCAUAACAUUAUGACCAUCUCCUUGUUUCUACACUCAUUGUCCAUUUUAUCAUCUGCACUUACUAUAUAGGUGCACUUUGUAGUUCUACAAUUACAGACUGUAGUCCAUCUGUUUCUCUGCAUACUUUGUCAGCCCCCUUUUACCCUGUUCUUCAGUGGUCACGCUGCCCACAGGACGCUGUUGGCUGGAUAUUUUUGGUUGAUAGACUAUUCUCAGUCCAGCAGUGACAUUGAGGUGUUUGAAAACUCCAGCAGCACUGCUGUGUCUGAUCCACUCAGACCAGCGCAACACACACUAACACCACCACCAUAUCAGUGUUACUGCGGUGCUGAGAAUGAUCCACCACCCAAAUAAUACCUGCUCUGUGAGGGUCCAUGGGGGUCCUGACCACUGAAGAACAGGGUAAAAGGGGGCUAACAAAGUAUGCAGAGAAACAGAUGGACUACAGUCUGUAAUUGUAGAACUACAAAGUGCACCUAUAUAGUAAGUGGAGCUGAUAAAAUGGACAAUGAGCAUAGAAACAAGGGGGUGGUCAUAAUGUUAUGCCUGAUUGGUGUAUUUUCAGUUUUUAAUUGUCUAUAAUUAUUUUACUUUUCAUUUUAAAGUAUUUAACUCUAACACAGUGAAAUUAGGAAACAAAAGUUCAACUUGUUAAAUGUUUGUUUUUAAUAAAUGUUUUGUUCUGAGGUUAUGGUUUUGUCAUUCUCUGUAAUUGGGAGGGGCACUAAUGGUAAAGUCUGAGCACUUACAUUGCAUUACAUUGUAACACAUCCCUCAUGACACUGAUAAAAAGUCUACAUGCAUUUCAGCAUUUGCAACAAAUAGUUAGGGUCUGAGUUACUGGCACUAAUGUAUGAAAGCCAGGAACCCUUCCUGUUGAGAGGACGUAUGGACAUGGGACCUGGACGGAUGUGCUUGGCUUGGGACCCUGUAAGUGAUUAUGGUGUUUUGCCCUAAUUUUCCCUAGGCUUAGGAGCCAGUAGUACCAAGAAAUCUUAGUAGUACCAAAGUGGCUCUGUUCCAUUUAAUGAAAGGACUAGGUGGGUGGGAACACUAAACCCUCAUAUGGCACAUACGGGGCCCCAUGCUGGAAGCCCACACUAAGCCCUCAUAUCAGGGCUUAUGUUAGGCUGCUGACAUAGGGGCCCACAUGUGCCCCUGUUUCAUGACUGACUGGGGCUCCACAACAGGUAGCCCAUGGUGGGCCACAUUUAUACAUCACAUUUUAAGCCCAUUGCUGGGAUGGCUCGCCAACAUUGAGGCCCACAUGUGCCCACUAUUUUACGUUAUAUGUGGGCGACCCACACUUAGUGCCUUUUGGGGCUGGGUGGGUUUGGCCACAGUUGGGCCAUUAACAAUCUGUCAAUAUAUGUAAACAUUACCUCAACAUUAUGAUAUUUUGGAAUAUACAGUAUGUUUUAAUAUUUUGCUCAGACAUAAACAUGACUGAUAAAUUUUGUA